UACGUAGGGGGCAAGCGUUGUCCGGAAUCAUUGGGCGUAAAGAGCGUGUAGGCGGCCCGAUAAGUCCGCUGUGAAAGUCCAGGGCUCAACCCUGGGAUGCCGGUGGAUACUGUCGGGCUCGAGUGCGGGAGAGGUGAGUGGAAUUCCCAGUGUAGAGGUGAAAUUCGUAGAUAUUGGGAAGAACACCAGUGGCGAAGGCGGCUCACUGGCCCGUAACUGACGCUGAGGUGCGAAAGCGUGGGGAGCAAACAGG
rnacentral:rRNA from 1 species